rnacentral:miRNA from 1 species
CAGCAGACACAUUCCAGCCAAUCAGCAGCAGACCCUCCCUCCCAGACCCUCCCACCUCCUGGACAGCAUCCAUUUUACAUUCAUUGUGAAGCUGCAUUCUUAGUGAGCUGUCCAGGAGGUAGGAGGGUCUGGGAGGGAGGGUCUGCUGCUGAUUGGCUGGAAUGCGUCUGCUG